GAUGAACGCUGGCGGCAUGCCUAACACAUGCAAGUCGAUCGGUAAGGCUCUUCGGAGUACACGAGAGGCGGACGGCUGAGUAACGCGUAGGAACACACCCUGCAGUGAGGGAUAAGACACCGAAAGGUGUUCUAAUACCGCAUACGGUCUUCGGAUUAAAGCAUUUAUGCGCUGAAGGAGUGGCCUGCGUCAUAUUAGAUAGUUGGUGAGGUAAUGGCUCACCAAGUCGAUGAUGUGUAGCUGGUCUGAGAGGAUGAUCAGCCAGACUGGAACUGAGACACGGUCCAGACUCCUACGGGAGGCAGCAGUGAGGAAUAUUUCACAAUGAGCGAAGGCUUGAUGGAGCAAUGCCGCGUGCAGGAUGAAGGCCCUCGGGUUGUAAACUGCUUUUAUAAGAGAAGAUUAUGACGGUAACUUAUGAAUAAGAGACGGCUAACUACGUG
rnacentral:rRNA from 1 species